GACGAACGUUGGCGGCGUCCUUAACACAUGCAAGUCGAACGGAAAGGCCCUGCUUUUGUGGGGUGCUCGAGUGGCGUACGGGUGAGUAACACGUGAGUAACCUGCCCUUGACUUUGGGAUAACUUCAGGAAACUGGGGCUAAUACCGGAUAGGAGCUCCUGCUGCAUGGUGGGGGUUGGAAAGUUUCGGCGGUUGGGGAUGGACUCGCGGCUUAUCAGCUUGUUGGUGGGGUAGUGGCUUACCAAGGCUUUGACGGGUAGCCGGCCUGAGAGGGUGACCGGCCACAUUGGGACUGAGAUACGGCCCAGACUCCUACGGGAGGCAGCAGUGGGGAAUAUUGCACAAUGGGCGGAAGCCUGAUGCAGCAACGCCGCGUGCGGGAUGACGGCCUUCGGGUUGUAAACCGCUUUCGCCUGUGACGAAGCGUGAGUGACGGUAAUGGGUAAAGAAGCACCGGCUAACUACGUG
rnacentral:rRNA from 1 species